rnacentral:tRNA from 1 species
GAGGGUAUAGCCCAGUGGUAGAGCACGUGCCCAGCAUGCACAAGUCCUGGGUUCAAUCCCUGGUACCUCCA